AUGGAGGUAACUGCCCCUGUAUGGAGGUAACUGCCCCUGUACGGUGGUAACUGCCCCUGUAUGACAGGUAACUGCCCCUGUACGGAGGUAACUGCCCCUGUGUGCAGGUAACUGCCCCUGUAUGGAGGUAACUGCCCCUGUAUGGAGUUAACUGCCCCUGUACGGAGGUAACUGCCCCUGUACUGAGGUAACUGCUCCUGUAUGGAGGUAACUGCCCCUGUAUGGAGGUUACUGCCCCUGUACGGAGGUAACUGCCCCUGUAUGACAGGUAACUGCCCCUGUACGGAGGUAACUGCCCCUGUAUGGAGGUAACUGCCCCUGUAUGGAGGUAACUGCCCCUGUAUGGAGGUAACUGCCCCUGUAUGGAGGUAACUGCCCCUGUACGGAGGUAACUGCCCCUGUAUGGAGGUAAUAAUGUGUAGGGGCAGAAUGAAGCACUCACCGGCAUCAUGCUGGCAGUUUCCUCUCUGUCGACCAUCCGCUGCUGCUGAGAGUCCGCUGCUCAUCACCCGGUUUAUUGUUGUUGUUGUUGUUAUUGUUGUUGUUAUUGUUAUUAUUGUUAUUAACAGUGGUUAUUAUCCGGAUCCUGCUCGACCUGUUGCCGUGGACCAGCGGGCCUCUCUCUCUCUCUCUCUCUCUGGGGGAAUGGGGGAUGAUGAGGAGGGGUUGGAGGCAGCGGGAGAUGAAGCAGGUAGUUCCGAUGAAGGUGGAGCAGCUCUCCUCCUCUUCCUCCUCUUCCUCCUCCUGCUGAGCGUUAAUCCUCCGACCGACCGACCGACUGACUGAGAGCGUGUUUGGAUCCGGACCGUUCACCGUUCACUGCCGGUCACCGGCCGCAGCUCCGCUUCCGCUGCGACCUUUCAGAAUAAAGGCCCCGUUUGCCCACUGUCUUUUCUCUUUAAGGUUUAUAUUUCAUUUUAUUUUGAAGGACAGUUUAUUCAUGU